rnacentral:rRNA from 1 species
AUGAUACGGAGGGAGCACGUGGUAGAAACAUCACUCUCAAACCUCCAGAAAAUUCACGGCAUCGCACUCCCGCACCGCACCAGCACUCUAUCGUGCCGUCACUAUACAAGGCCACUGGCCAGCAGCCUCCUGGCUGAGCACACCAGCCAGUACUGUACGUACUAUCGCAGGCCACACAGCCAUGCAGAGCGAGGUUUUUGGCUGCUAUGGGCGACGCUCGCCGCCGCGCUACUCUGCUACCUGACCAGCGAAGCCCGCCGCAGGGGCACCGGGGCACGGCAGCCUCCGGGCCCGAUGCCGCUCCCGGUCCUCGGCAACCUGCUCGACCUGGGCGGCAACCUCCACCACACGCUGGCGCGCCUGGCCCGCGCCCACGGCCGCGUCAUGAAGCUCAAGCUCGGCCUGGUCACCACCGUGGUGGUCUCCUCCCGUGACGCCGCGCGGGAGGCCUACACCAGGUACGACCGCCAACUGGCCGCGCGCGCGGUCCCGGACGCCGCCAACGCGGUCGGCAACUCCGGGCGGUCCAUGAUCUGGCUGCCCAGCUCCGACCCGCUCUGGAAGACGCUGCGCGGCAUCGUGGCCUCGCCGCCGCGCGCGGCCUGCGCGAGCGCAAGGUGCGCGACAUGGUGGGCUACUUCCGCCGCCACGCGGGGGAGGAGGUGGACGUCGGCCAUGCCGUGUACGGCGGCGUGCUGA